AAAAUCUUGAGAAAUAAACAAAUCAAGGAUGAAGAAAAAAAAAAUGAUCGAACCUAUACAAAUAUUGAAAUAUACAUGGGAAAUAUGAAAUGUUAUAAUCAACUCUUUUAUAAAAGAGUCAUUUGUUGAUAUUCCAAUUGGAUGAUCCAUCUAUCAUUCCUCAAGUCAACACACUUUGCAACCAUCUAAAAGAGAAAACCAAAAAUCUUGC
rnacentral:lncRNA from 1 species